rnacentral:rRNA from 1 species
AUGAUCAGCAGGAUCCUGAAGAGGGUCUGCGGCUUGUACCCUCAGUACAUCGGCGUUGAUGUCGAGUAUACCAGGGAGGACAAACCUCCGCAGAGGGCAGCGGUUCUACAAUUAUGCAUGCACGAACUCUGUUUGGUAUAUCACAUCACCGCGGCAACAAAAUGGCCCAAGAGCCCGCGCCCGUUCCUGAAGGAGGACAUGUUCUACACCUUUGCCGGCUUCAGUAUUGAAGGUGACAAAGAGAUGCUGUGA